rnacentral:rRNA from 1 species
GACGAACGCUGGCGGCGUGCCUAAUACAUGCAAGUUGAGCGCUGAAGGUUGGUACUUGUACCAACUGGAUGAGCAGCGAACGGGUGAGUAACGCGUGGGGAAUCUGCCUUUGAGCGGGGGACAACAUUUGGAAACGAAUGCUAAUACCGCAUAAAAACUUUAAACACAAGUUUUAAGUUUGAAAGAUGCAAUUGCAUCACUCAAAGAUGAUCCCGCGUUGUAUUAGCUAGUUGGUGAGGUAAAGGCUCACCAAGGCGAUGAUACAUAGCCGACCUGAGAGGGUGAUCGGCCACAUUGGGACGGAGACACGGCCCAAACCCCUACGGGAGGCAGCAGUAGGGAAUCUUCGGCAAUGGACGAAAGGCUGACCGAGCAACGCCGCGGGAGUGAAGAAGGGUUUCGGAUCGGAAAAAUCUGUUGGUAGAGAAGAACGUUGGUGAGAGUGGAAAGCUCAUCAAGUGACGGUAACUACCCAGAAAGGGACGGCUAACUACGUG